UUGCGGCCGCAUCAUGUUGAAACCCCGUUUCCCGUACGAUCACCUAAGUUAAGCUAAACCGAGUCUGGUUAGUACCAAAGACGGGUGAACGCUUGGGAAUAUCAAGUGACGUAAG